rnacentral:rRNA from 1 species
AUUGAACGCUGGCGGCAGGCUUAACACAUGCAAGUCGAGCGGGCGAGGUUGCUUCGGUAACUGAGCUAGCGGCGGACGGGUGAGUAAUGCUUAGGAAUCUGCCUAUUAGUGGGGGACAACAUUCCGAAAGGAAUGCUAAUACCGCAUACGCCCUACGGGGGAAAGCAGGGGAUCUUCGGACCUUGCGCUAAUAGGUGAGCCUAAGUCAGAUGAGCUAGUUGGUGGGGUAAAGGCCUACCAAGGCGACGAUCUGUAGCGGGUCUGAGAGGAUGAUCCGCCAGACUGGGACUGAGACACGGCCCAGACUCCUACGGGAGGCAGCAGUGGGGAAUAUUGGACAAUGGGCGCAAGCCUGAUCUAGCCAUGCCGCGUGUGUGAAGAAGGCCUUUUGGUUGUAAAGCACUUUAAGCGAGGAGGAGGCUACUUGGAUUAAUACUCUAGGAUAGUGGACGUUACUCGCAGAAUAAGCACCGGCUAACUCUGUGCCAGCCGCCGCAGUAA